CUAGUUGGUGGGGUAAAAGCUCACCAAGGCGACGAUCGGUAGCUGGUCUGAGAGGACGAUCAGCCACACUGGGAUUGAGAACGGCCCAGACUCCUACGGGAGGCAGCAGUGAGGAAUUUUCCGCAAUGGACGCAAGUCUGACGGAGCAACGCCGCGUGCAGGACGAAGGUCUUCGGAUCGUAAACUGCUUUUCCCAGGGAAGAGAAUGGACGGUACCUGGUGAAUAAGCCCCGGCUAACUACGUGCCAGCAGCCGCGGUAAUACGUAGGGGGCGAGCGUUGUCCGGAUUUAUUGGGCGUAAAGGGCACGCAGGCGGUCCAUUAAGUUCAGGGUGACAGUCAUCAGCUUAACUGAUGAAGUGCCUUGAAAACUGGUGGACUUGAGAGCGAGAGAGGGACACGGAACUCCGGGUGGAGCAGUGAAAUGCGUAGAGAUCCGGAAGAACACCAAAGGCGAAGGCAGUGUCCUGGCUCGUUUCUGACGCUCAGGUGCGAAAGCGAGGGGAGCGAACGGGAUUAGAUACCCCGGUAGUCCUCGCCGUAAACGAUGACCACUCGACGUGGGAGGGAUCGACCCCUUCCGUGUCAAAGCCAACGCGAUAAGUGGUCCGCCUGGGGAGUACGACCGCAAGGUUAAAACUCCAAGGAAUUGACG
rnacentral:rRNA from 1 species